CAGCUGCAGCCCUGCGGUGUUUAACCUGCACAGAUCAGACAUGUUCAAACACAGCAUCAAUAACAUGUGCUUCAGAGACAAUGUGUAUAAGUGCUACCAUCCUAGCAUCUCAAUCUGGGACUACAGCAACACGAAUCUACAAAGCCUGUGCAUCAUCUUCUUUGUGUCCAGUCACAGACAAUGGAACUUUUUCAGUUGAGUUGGCUAAUCAAAGUGCAACUGCAGAUGCACUGUGCUGCGACACUGAUGACUGCAACUCAGGAACACUGCCUUCUCCCAAUACUCCUUCACCAAACUCCCUGCAGUGCAUUAGUUGUGACCCAACAACCUCCCAGUGUACAACUCCAAUAACAUGUUCCGGAGCACAGAAUAACUGCUUCACAGCAACUU